UUGGAGGGCAAGUCUGGUGCCAGCAGCCGCGGUAAUUCCAGCUCCAAUAGCGUAUAUUAAAGUUGUUGCAGUUAAAAAGCUCGUAGUUGAAUUUCGGGGUUCUACCGUUGGUCGGGCAAUAGUCUGUACUGGCGUGUAGAAUUUCUACCUUCUGGGGAACUAUCAUGUUAUUUAUUUAGCGUGGUAGGAAACCAGGACCUUUACCUUGAAAAAAUUAGAGUGUUCAAAGCAGGCUUACGUCUGAAUACAUUAGCAUGGAAUAAUAAAAUAGGACGGUGGUCCUGUUUUGUUGGUUUCUGAAUCACCGUAAUGAUUAAUAGGGAUAGUUGGGGGCAUUAGUAUUCAAUUGUCAGAGGUGAAAUUCUUGGAUUUAUUGAAGACUAACUUCUGCGAAAGCAUUUGCCAAGGGUGUUUUCAUUAAUCAAGAACGAAAGUUAGGGGGUCGAAGACGAUCAGAUACCGUCGUAGUCUUAACCAUAAACUAUGCCGACUAGGGAUCGGACGAUGUUAAUUUUUCUUGACUCGUUCGGCACCUUACGGGAAAC
rnacentral:rRNA from 1 species